UUUUCCCUACGGGGCGCAGCAGUGAGGAAUAUUGGUCAAUGGGCUUACGCCUGAACCAGCCAAGUCGCGUGAGGGAAGACUGCCCUAUGGGUUGUAAACCUCUUUUGUCAGGGAGCAACGCCGGCUACGUGUAGCCGGACUGAGAGUACCUGAAGAAAAAGCAUCGGCUAACUCCGUGCCAGCAGCCGCGGUAAUACGGAGGAUGCGAGCGUUAUCCGGAUUUAUUGGGUUUAAAGGGUGCGUAGGCGGUCCGGAAAGUCAGCGGUAAAAGCCCGGGGCUCAGCCCCGGCGAGCCGUUGAAACUG
rnacentral:rRNA from 1 species